GAUGAACGCUAGCUAUAGGCUUAACACAUGCAAGUCGAGGGACCGGCGCACGGGUGAGUAACGCGUAUCCAACCUGCCCAUAACUAAGGGAUAACCCAGCGAAAGUUGGACUAAUACCUUAUGGUUAUGGAUGGGGAUGCGUUUGAUUAGCUUGUUGGCGGGGUAACGGCCCACCAAGGCAACGAUCCGUAGGGGUUCUGAGAGGAAGGCCCACCACAUUGGAGCUGAGACACGGCCCAAACACGGACGGGAGGCAGCAGUGAGGAAGAUUGGGCAAUGGAGGCAAGUAUGAACCAGCCAAGUAGCGUGAAGGAGGACGGCCUAGGGGUUGUAAACUGGUGGUAUAUGGGGAUAGGUACCAUAUGAAUAAGGACCGGCUAAUUCCGUGCCAGCAGCCGCGGUAAUUC
rnacentral:rRNA from 1 species